rnacentral:rRNA from 1 species
AACUUGGUCUGAAAUGGGCAAGAAAACCCGCUGAACUUAAGCAUAUCAAUAAGCGGAGGAA